GAAAAUUUUCCAGUACGUAUUGUACCUAAACUCUAGUCGAAUCAUUGUUCUUUCUCUCUCCUCAUUAGACAAUUUAAUAAUUCCAAAGAUGACGGUGGUUUAUUACGUAGUUGGGAUAGUUGUAUUUGUUGCCUUGUGCGCACUUUACGGGUACAUAAGAACGAAGUCGGAAAGCGUUUGUCACUACUUCUGGUAUCAUUACCUCAGAUUCAGGGAUUGGCUCACCCAAUGUAGAAGUCGGGUCCCUACAGAAGAACCGGUGGAGAUGACGGCCUAAGGGCCCAAAUAUUCCAAGGAUGAAGCUGGCUUUCGUGCACCAACUCCAUCGAAAGCUCGAAGGAAGAUAAUUUCUUCAAUCUUCCCAAAAGAACGUUUUACAUCGAUUAAAAUAAUGGCAUACAAUGACUGAACUUGACGAAUCGAGACCAUGGCAAAUUUCACAGGACGGUACCCCCUCGGAGCAACGCACG